rnacentral:tRNA from 1 species
AGAAAGUUAGUCUAACUCAAGACAGUUGAUUUCGGCUCAACAGAUCGCAACUCCUGUGACUUUCUC